GUGAGGAAUUUUGGACAAUGGGCGAAAGCCUGAUCCAGCAAUGCCGCGUGCAGGAUGAAGGCCCUCGGGUUGUAAACUGCUUUUGUACGGAACGAAAAGCCUGGGGCUAAUAUCCCCGGGUCAUGACGGUACCGUAAGAAUAAGCACCGGCUAACUACGUGCCAGCAGCCGCGGUAAUACGUAGGGUGCAAGCGUUAAUCGGAAUUACUGGGCGUAAAGCGUGCGCAGGCGGUUUUGUAAGACAGUGGUGAAAUCCCCGGGCUCAACCUGGGAACUGCCAUUGUGACUGCAAGGCUAGAGUGCGGCAGAGGGGGAUGGAAUUCCGCGUGUAGCAGUGAAAUGCGUAGAUAUGCGGAGGAACACCGAUGGCGAAGGCAAUCCCCUGGGCCUGCACUGACGCUCAUGCACGAAAGCGUGGGGAGCAAACAGGAUUAGAAACCCUGGUAGUCC
rnacentral:rRNA from 1 species